UACGAAGGGUGCAAGCGUUACUCGGAAUUACUGGGCGUAAAGCGUGCGUAGGCGGUGAGUUAAGUCUGUCGUGAAAUCCCCGGGCUCAACCUGGGAAUGGCGAUGGAUACUGGCUCGCUAGAGUGUGAUAGAGGAUGGUGGAAUUCCCGGUGUAGCGGUGAAAUGCGUAGAGAUCGGGAGGGACAUCAGUGGCGAAGGCGGCCAUCUGGAUCAACACUGACGCUGAGGCACGAAAGCGUGGGGAGCAAACAGG
rnacentral:rRNA from 1 species